AAUUAAAAUUUUCAUCCAGUUCUAUUGUUAAAAACUGGUAUGAUUAAUAGCAUAAUCAAAUUGUUACACAUGAUAUGCCAUGUGUACCUCUUGUCGACGUACAUGGACCAGUUUUUAAAGGUAGAAAUGGAUGAAAAUUUUAACG
rfam:Gossypium raimondii Chr03_contig_24, whole genome shotgun sequence.